AACUGUGUGUAUGCAACUGCCAUUCUCUAAUGGAAGCGAAGGGAUACGGAGCAUAUAAUUGUAGAAAUCCAUAGCAACGGUUUCACGCAGCCAUCGCAACUAACAGCAGCAAUGGAUCGCCUCUCGAUCCAUUUGUUGUUCCAGGAAACGAUGGAGAUCAGUUGGGCCAAUCGUGCCGUCAGCAGCGAGGAAACCAGCAACAACCGUUUUACACUGAGCAAUCAACAGCUACCGAUUCGGACAACAUCGACUCGGAUGGAAGCAGCAGCAACAGCGCAGAUUGUCGGUGUUAUUCCAUAUACUGUCUGCAGCAAAAACUCCACUAGCUGAUGAACGAUAUGCUAUGGCGAAAGUAUCACAAUUUUCAAACACAUCGUCACAUUAUAUAAAAAUAAGAAUAGAAUAAGAAUAUUAAUAAAAAUAAUAAUAUUUUAAAUAAAAACUAUAU